UUCCGGUUGAUCCCGCCGGACCCCACUGCUAUCGGGAUAGGACUAAGACAUGCUAGUCGUGUGCCUCAGCCAAAACGAGGCACGGCGCACAGCUCAGUAACACGUGGCUAACCUGCCCUUAGGACGAGAAUAACCCCGGGAAACUGGGGCUAAUGCUCGAUAGGUGAAGAACUCUGGAAUGAGUCUUCACUUAAAAGAGUCUGCGUUAUGCUCGUAGAUUUCGCUUAAGGAUGGGGCCGCGACCGAUCAGGUUGUUGGUGAGGUAAUGGCUCACCAAGCCUUUUACCGGUGCGGGCCGUGAGAGCGGGAGCCCGGAGAUGGGCACUGAGACAAGGGCCCAGGCCCUACGGGGCGCAGCAGUCGCGAAAACUUUGCAAUACACGAAAGUGUGACAGGGCUAUCCCGAGUGCCAUCCGCUGAGGAAGGCUUUUACCCAGUCUAGAAAGCUGGGGGAAUAAGGAGAGGGCAAGUCUGGUGUCAGCCGCCGCGGUAAUACCAGCUCUCCGAGUGGUGUGGAUGUUUAUUGGGCCUAAAGCAUCCGUAGCUGGCUAAGUUAGUCCCCUGUUAAAUCCAACGAAUUAAUCGUUGGAUCGCGGGGGAUACUGCUUGGCUAGGGGACGAGAGAGGCAGACGGUAUUUCCGGGGUAGGGGUGAAAUCCUAUAAUCCCGGGAAGACCACCAGUGGCGAAGGCUGUCUGCUAGAACGCGCCCGACGGUGAGGGAUGAAAGCUGGGGGAGCGAACCGGAUUAGAUACCCGGGUAGUCCCAGCUGUAAACGAUGCAGGCUAGGUGUUUGGACGGCCACGUGCCGUUCUAGUGCCGCAGGGAAGCUGUUAAGCCUGCCGCCUGGGGAGUACGAUCGCAAGAUUGAAACUUAAAGGAAUUGGCGGGGGAGCACCACAAGGGGUGAAGCUUGCGGUUUAAUUGGAUUCAACGCCGGA
rnacentral:rRNA from 1 species